GUAUGUUUGGUUUUUUAAUGUUUUAUGUUAUAUAUUUGUGUCAAAGGUGAAGUUGGACUUACAAAGAAAUCCAUCUUACAGACUUCUUGAACUCAUUCGUAAGUCAGGGACUUACUGUACUAAAGAUAAAAUUCAGGGCCUUUCCACUGGAAGGCUGAGGCAGGAGGAUUCCAAGCCAAAGCCUAAUGUGAGCAACUUGUAGCUUAGUGUGAAGAACUGGGGUGCAAUUCCCAGUACGACCCCCCCGCAACUUGACAAAUUGGCCAUCAUUAGACUUAAGAAUUUCUCUUCAUCACAAGAUUCUACCAUGGGUGAGAAGAGCAGGCGGCAGCACAACUGAGCUAAACCCCCGGCCCAUGCAUUAAAGAUUUAUUAAGGCUACGUCUUAGUCUCUUAUGGCUGCAGUCACAGGUUGCCUUAGACUGGGUGGCUUGUAAACAACAAAUCCAUUUCUCAGCCGGGAGGCUUUGAAGUCCACGAUCAAGGUACCUGCCGAUUCUGUGAUGGGUUUUGCUGUUGCUAAGUUGCCUGAGCUG